GUGCCAGCAGCCGCGGUAAUACAUAGGGGUCAAGCGUUGUCCGGAUUUAUUGGGCGUAAAGAGCUCGUAGGCGGUUCAACAAGUCGGUCGUAAAAGUUUAGGGCUCAACCCUAAAAUGUCGAUCGAUACUGUUGUGACUAGGAUACGGUAGAGGUGAAUGGAAUUCCGAGUGUAGCGGUGAAAUGCUUUGAUAUAACACAGAACACCGAUAGCGAAGGCAGCUUGCCAGACUGUAAAUGACGCUGAGGCACGAACGCGUGGGGAGCGAACAGGAUUAGAUA
rnacentral:rRNA from 1 species